CUAGCCCUGAAUCAAGGCCUGCAACUUCCCGAUGCUGUUGGUUUCCAGCAGGAGCCUAAAGAUAUGUCUUGCAAUAGUCUGUUGGCUAUUGGGAAGAACAUGGCAGACAAAGGGGAGAACAUGG
ensembl:snoRNA